CCGACUGCUAUCAGAGUGGGACUAAGCCAUGCGAGUCAACGCAGCAAUGCGUGGCAUACGGCUCAGUAACACGUAGUCAACAUGCCCAGGGGACGUGGAUAACCUCGGGAAACUGAGGAUAAACCGCGAUAGGCCAAGAUUUCUGGAAUGGAUCAUGGCUGAAAUCUACAUGGCCCCUGGAUUGGACUGCGGCCGAUCAGGCUGUUGGUGAGGUAAUGGCCCACCAAACCUGUAACCGGUACGGGCUCUGAGAGGAGGAGCCCGGAGAUGGGCACUGAGACAAGGGCCCAGGCCCUAUGGGGCGCAGCAGGCGCGAAACCUCUGCAAUAGGCGAAAGCUUGACAGGGUUACUCUGAGUGAUGUCCGUUAAGGGCAUCUUUUGGCACUUCUAAAAAUAGUGUAGAAUAAGGGGUGGGCAAGUCUGGUGUCAGCCGCCGCGGUAAUACCAGCACCCCGAGUGGUCGGGACGAUUAUUGGGCCUAAAGCAUCCGUAGCCGGUUCUGCAAGUCUUCCGUUAAAUCCACCUGCUCAACAGAUGGGCUGCGGGGGAUACUACAGGGCUAGGAGGCGGGAGAGGCAAGCGGUACUCGGUGGGUAGGGGUAAAAUCCUCUGAUCCACCGAAGACCACCAGUGGCGAAGGCGGCUUGCCAGAACGCGCUCGACGGUGAGGGAUGAAAGCUGGGGGAGCAAACCGGAUUAGAUACCCGGGUAGUCCCAGCUGUAAACGAUGCAGACUCGGUGAUGGGUUGGCUUUGAGCCAACCCAGUGCCGCAGGGAAGCCGUUAAGUCUGCCGCCUGGGGAGUACGGUCGCAAGACUGAAACUUAAAGGAAUUGGCGGGGGAGCACCACAAGGGGUGAAGCUGCGGUC
rnacentral:rRNA from 1 species